GGAGUCUAACAUGUGCGCGAGUCAUUGGGCAGAACUAAACCCACAGGCGAAAUGAAAGUGAAGGGGGGACUCGUUCCCCCUUCGGGAAGAUGGCGGCGGCUUAGUCCGCAGCCCGCACUCCCGGGGCGCCGCUUUCUGCUUGCAGAUGCGGCGCACCUAGAGCGUACACGUUGGGACCCGAAAGAUGGUGAACUAUGCCUGGCCAGGACGAAGUCAGGGGAAACCCUGAUGGAGGUCCGUAGCGAUUCUGACGUGCAAAUCGAUCGUCGGAGCUGGGUAUAGGGGCGAAAGACUAAUCGAACCAUCUAGUAGCUGGUUCCCUCCGAAGUUUCCCUCAGGAUAGCUGGCACUCGGAGUACUAUGAGUCUCAUCCGGUAAAGCGAAUGAUUAGAGGCCUUAGGGCCGAAACGACCUUAACCUAUUCUCAAACUUUAAAUGGGUGAGAAGGUCGGCUCACUUAAUUGGAGCCGGUCCUUCGUGUGGAUAGAGAGUUGCCAAGUGGGCCACUUUUGGUAAGCAGAACUGGCGCUGUGGGAUGAACCAAACGCCGAGCUAAGGCGCCUGAAUCGAAGUUCAUGGGAAACCAUGAAAGGCGUUGGUUGC
rnacentral:rRNA from 1 species